rnacentral:lncRNA from 1 species
UUAGUGUUUUCUAGAAUGUCCUCAAAUGUCGAGAGUGAAUCAUAUUCAAAUACUGCUAUUUAGCAAAGGCCCCUGGGCUUCAAAAAAGAUACAGAAUGAGUCAUGAGAUUUUGACUUAUGAAUGUGAAAGUGCUAUAAAAUGUACCAGUUAGUUCUCGAAUCCCAUCACUUUAAAAGAAUUCUAACUAGUUCUGCCAGUAAUCAGCUCUCUUAUGGUCUACUCUUAGGUGAAGCUGAAGCUAACAAAGACCGCCAACAGCCAGGAACCUAAAAAUUCAGUGAAACUCUGCUUCAGCUUGCUGAAAGAAGAAAUCCUCCUUUAUCCCCAGGUUAUUGUCAUCCGUUGCUAGCAUUUGGAUUCUCAAGACGAGUAUGUCAUGAGAAAUCACCAUGUGAAGACAACCAGUUUUCUCACCUUACUCAUUUCCUCUCAUCACUUCUUGCCUGCUGAUGGUGAGUGAUGUCAGAAAACAUGCAGGGCAAAGGAAUAUGAAGAAAGAGGUCAACAAGAUGACUACUGAGCAGAUAAAAGUCCUGGCUGAUAAGUUGAGGAUGAUCCCUGGCUUCACAAGGUAUCUAACUCUUUUUUGGUCUUUGGUCCUCCACAUGCUCACUGUGGCACACAUGCGUCCUCCUACUCACUAAUAAAAUGAAUAAAUAUAAAUAAAAGAAAUAUGAAGAGCUGUGA